rnacentral:rRNA from 1 species
AUACGGAGGGGGCUAGUGUUAUUCGGAAUUACUGGGCGUAAAGGGUACGUAGGCGGUCAACUAAGUUGAAAGUGAAAUCCCAAAGCUUAACUUUGGAAUGGCUUUCAAAACUAGUUAACUCGAGUUCGAUAGAGGAUAGUGGAAUUUCUAGUGUAGAGAUAGAAUUCAUAAAUAUUAGAAGGAACACCAGUGGCGAAGGCGACUAUCUGGAUCGAAACUGACGCUGAGGUACGAAAGCAUGGGGAGCAAACGGGAUUAGAUACCCCAGUAGUCC